rnacentral:rRNA from 1 species
UGGGGAAUAUUGCACAAUGGGCGAAAGCCUGAUGCAGCAACGCCGCGUGAGUGAUGAAGGUCUUCGGAUUGUAAAGCUCUGUCUUUUGGGACGAUAAUGACGGUACCAAAGGAGGAAGCCACGGCUAACUACGUGCCAGCAGCCGCGGUAAUACGUAGGUGGCGAGCGUUGUCCGGAUUUACUGGGCGUAAAGGGUGCGUAGGCGGAUGUUUAAGUGAGAUGUGAAAUACCCGGGCUUAACUUGGGUGCUGCAUUUCAAACUGGAUAUCUAGAGUGCAGGAGAGGAGAAUGGAAUUCCUAGUGUAGCGGUGAAAUGCGUAGAGAUUAGGAAGAACACCAGUGGCGAAGGCGAUUCUCUGGACUGUAACUGACGCUGAGACACGAAAAGGCCGU